GUUUUCUUUAUUUUAUAAAUUGUUUUUUAAAUUAAUGUUCUUCAAAGCAAAUGUUUUUAGUUUUGAUGAAGUUCAAUUUGUUUUUGUCUUUUGUUUGUUCCAUGUGCUUUUAUGUCAUAUCUAAGAAUUCAUUUCCUUACCCAUGGUCAUGAAGGUGUAAUCCCAUAUGUUCCUUUAAUAAUUUUAUAGUUUUACAACUUAUUUUAUGUAUUUGACCAAUUUUAAAUUGACUUUUGUUUAUGAUGAGAGAGAGACAUUCAUAUUUAUUCUUUUGCAUUUGGACAUCCCAUUGCACAAGUAUUAUUUGUUGAAAAGAUUAUUUUUCUACCAUUGGAUGGUCUUGACAUUCUUGUUAAAAAUCGAAUAAUUGGCUUGUAAAAACUAUACAUUAUUUAAUGUAUACAACUUGUUGAGUUUGGGGAUAAGUAUACACUACAAAACCAUCACCAUUACGACCAUGAACAUGUCCAUCUUCUUUCUAACUUUUCUUCUACCUCUGUGUGUGGUAAGAAAACUUAACAUGAGAUCUACUUUUCUCUUCUACUUUUCUUCUUUUCUGUUUAUGCCCUAAAGUUUACUGUCUUAGUGAUAGCAGCUUAAAAUAAGUAAAUAUUUGGUAGGAUGAGUUCCCUACCUUGACAAUAUUGUCUUAUUGCCUUAGACAUUUUUGCCUUUUCUAUUUCUUAUUAAUUCUUAUACUCACCUUUAACUUUUGAAGUCUCAUUUUCUCUCUCUCUUUUCUCUCCCUCUUCCCCCACACCAUCUUCCUCUCUCUUUCUCUCAAACACACACACACACACACACACACACACACACACAACACAAGCACACAGUCACAAAGUUUCUGAUAGCUUUUAUAAUAAAGAUGCAUAAUAAUCUGGAUGAAAUGUUCACUUCGCAAAAUAGAAAUAAUCCAUUCAUAAACAUUGUAUACACCACCAAUUAUUUAGGUCUUAUUUUAUGGUUCUCAAUGAUUUUUCUAUAUCAAGAGGUUUUUUUUCCUUUUUUUAUUUUUAAUAGAGACAGGGUCUUACUAUAUUGCCUAGGCUGGCCUUGGUCUUGUGGCCUCAAUUGGCCCUCCCACCUCAGUCUCCCAAGUAGCUGUAAUCACAAGUGUGAGCCACUGCAUCUGCCUAUACCCAAUUUUUGCAUAUGUUUUAUUAGAACCAUUCUCAGGUACCUUUAGUUAUUAUUAUUAUUACAAACAGUGACUUUUCUAUAAUUACAUUUUUAGCAAUUCACUGAAAUUUUAUUCCAUUUCUCUGUUCUACCACCCUGAGAAAUAAUUAGCCUUCCCUUAGGAUAUCAAGACUUCUAGAAUUCCAGAUAUUAUAGCCAGGUAUGUCAACAUCUGGUUGAUAAGGAGGGCCUUUUCUCCUAGCAGUCACUUUUAAUUACGGAUGGUACCCUUUUCUAGAGUAUCACAACUGGUUUGCUGUUGGGUUUCUUGACUAAGAUCAGGUCACAUGCUAAUCAUGUCCAGCCAUAAAGGAGAAUGAAAAUGUAAAUAUCUGAGUUUUCAGAUGCUACACUAGAAAGUGGUUCCUUUCAAUUGAGAUGGGGUGGUGGUUAUAAAUGUUGGAAAACAGUAAACAAAUAUGAGUGAAUGUUACAGCUUUCUAUUUGAGAAAGCUCAUUGCGAUAGAUGUUGAUGGUGGCACCAGCCUGUCUAGAACAGCCAUUGUGGGGAUGCCAGCUGCUGUGCAGGAGGCACUGCUGAGGCUGCGUGCUUUGUGGAGCCAAUGGGGUCUGGGAACAGGCGGGAGCUCCACCCCCUACUGAGUUGGUGAGGCGAGAGCCCCACACUCCUGGACACAGCUGCAGCCGCCCAGCUGCAGCUCUGGACCAGGGCAUUCUUGCACUCUUGGGGGUCCGGGAAGCUCCCUGCCCCCACAGGCUCAGAAGUGCCUUUUCCUGCUCCCUGGCCUCUCCCCACUCUUGGUGCCCACUUCAAUUUUGAAGCAAAGUUGAAGCUGAGCCCAUGCACUAUCAUGACCUGGCAGGUGUGCGUGCCCUCGGGGAGGCGCUGACACUCCAGGUCUCCUGCUGCCUCAGCCUCCUCUGAAGCUUUGGACAAUGAAGAGCUCAGGGAGGGAGGCUGGAGGUGGGAUGGAGGGGCUGAGGGACGCUCAGCACAGGCCUUAUAGGUGCCCUUUGGGGUGAAGAGCCUGGGCUCCAGUAACAGCAUGUUGAUGGCAGCAGGAGGCAGACAGGUUCCUAAGUGGAAAGGGGUGGGUCCCUGGUGAAGCCCCAGCUUCAAGCCAGGGGUGGCCUGAAGCCUGGGAGCCGGGCUGCCAGUUCUAGGUAGAGUCCGUCAUGGAGAGUGAGAACUUAUGGUGCUUUUUCCAGGCCCAUCCGUGGCUGCCCAUGGACCAAUCAGCAUGCGCUUCCUCUCUUCUGAGCUCAUGAAAACCCUGGACUCAGCCAGACUUGCACACUCGUCAGGACAACAUCCCUGCAGAAAGGAGCUACUUGCCAUGUUUCUCCUCUCCUCUGUGAGCUGGAACCCCAUCAGGACAACUUGCCUAUGGAAAGGAGCUACCCACUUUGGGUCUCCUGAAAGCUGUUUUGUCACUCAGUGAAGCUCCUCUGCCUUCCUCACCCUCAAAUUGUCCAUGUAUCUCGUUCUUCCUAGAUGCAGGAAAAGAACUGGGACCUGCUGAAUGGUGAGAAUGAAAGAGCUGUAACACAAACAGGGCUGAAAUAUGCCCCCUGCUCACCACAUUGUGAGUGAUGAGGAGAAAAGAGCUGCAGCCCUUCUGGGAAUGCAGACAUCAGGUCUCCCUGAACUAGGGCUGUGGCACUCUCUUUGGGGCUCUGCUUUUGGGCACCAUCGCAUUCCCCUUGUCUAGAUGCUGGUGCCCACAGCCAAAGCUGCUUUUAAUAUGCCUGGUCUAGCUUCAGUCUUCCAUGGAGCUGGUGCCUGUGCCAGUGCCUGGAACCGCCCACCCCUCUGCCACAGCUGGAGCACCUGGCUGUGUGCAGUGGCUGGACCCUGCACUCACUUGCUCACACAUCCCUCACUGCUCCAUGCCUGGCUUGCCCAUGGCAGUUAGGGGAUGCGGCUGGUAGCACAAGCCGAGCAGGGGCUGCUGGGCUGAGUGGGUGGAAUGAGCCCAGCGAGCACAAGCAAAACCUAAGCAGAGGCACCACCAGCCACAGAGGUUUCUGGCUGGCAAAUUGACACCCUAGGAAUCCCAUGACAGCCUGGGCUCCCUGGUUGCCCACUGCAUUCUGGGAGAGCUUAAGGAUCCACUGUCUUUAACAUCAAGUUUUCUAACCUAUAUCUGUUGAGACUUUUUAAGUUACAUCAUUUCAGAAACAUUAACCAUUUUUCCGUCAGAAUCAAAGCCUGAAUUCCAAAUCUUUUGGUACCAGUAGCAUAUUUUUACAGUAAUUUUCAUUUUUCAACCCUGGCCGUUCUGAUUUUGUAGUGUACCAGCCCCUACUCUGGCAUGAGAUGGAAAGGCUAGGGAAACUAGGGGUUCAAACAUUGCAUUUUCAGCUGUUUGAGAUAAUAUAAGCUUUGUGUUAUGAUUCUGCAGGAAAAUAAAUAAGUAGAUAAAUAAAUAGCACCAAAAAAUAACCAUUAAAUGUCUCUGAGGGGCAGACUAAUGAUAAGCCAUAAAUUAGGGCAUAAAUACAUUGAUCAGCUGGCUACUAGCAAACCACCAGAACUCUGCCGCUAUCUGGAAUGAUAACCUGUGGGAUACAGUCAACUUUCUGCCAGAGCUCCAUUUGAGCUUGAGCCUGUCAUACUCAGCUGAUGCCCAAGUGACCCCUUCUCUCAUCUUUCAUUCAUUUUUCAUGCUUACAUUUUCAUACUACCCUGCUUUGUUCCCUUGCCACCUCUUACUUCCCUCCAGAGGUUUACAGCCAUAAGUCAAUGGCAAAAAAAAAAAAAAAAAAAAAAAAAAAUGCCUUACAAUACAGUGCCUCAGUGUAAGAUUUAGAAAAAGCUAGAAAGAUGACAAGUUGAAAAGAUGUUCUCACCCUUGUAAUGGGCUGACUCCUGAAUCUGUGUUACCUUCUUGUACAAUUCACUGACCUAUUUUUCAUUUGUUUCUUAACUUGGUUUUAACUUUGGCCUAUUAUUCUAAAGUUGGCUUCCAGAAUCCAAUCUCUAUUCUAGUUAUUCAUUCUUUACUCAAAUAUAGUUUUAAGGCCCAGUCUUUGCCUAGCACACAAUUGAAAUGUUGACCAUAAUACCCCCUUGAUAUCUUUCUCAUGCUUUAUUCUCUGUGAAGAAUAGCAGCGUGCACCUUUGUUUAUUCCUCAUGAAUAAAAAUAUCAAUAAGAAUAUAUGAGUGAGAGCAUAGUAUGUAUUUUAUAACACAUUGAUUUGUCCUGUGACCCUAGGCAAUAUAUAUUUUAUUAAAAUUAUACAACAAUGAAUUCAUCCUGUUCUUCAAUAAUUUAUCUGAGUAAAUUCUUUACAAUGGGAUUUUUUAACACGGAAUGUCACAGAUAAAGCCUGGAUCGUCUCAUCAGAAAUUUUUUACAAAUUAUUAAAUGAACUGGCUAUUACUUGGACUCACGGUUUCUAACCUUCAGUCUCACUUGGACUUCUA
rnacentral:lncRNA from 1 species